ACGCAGAAUAGGGUAAAAUUUUUGUCAUAAUAAGACAAAUAGAAAAAGAAAAAUCCUUCACCUAGUGUUUUCCUUUCAUUCUAGGGUAGAUAAGCACAGGAUGUAUAACUAGAAUUUGAAAAGGUCAAUUCCCUAUUUCUUUUUUUUCAUGUGAGUUUAAUAGAACUCAAUCACAAAUAGAAGUCCAAAAGGCCCGUCCGUUUUUCUGUUUACUAUAAAAAAAAACAGGAAGUUUAUAGAUCUUCAAAACGAGACAAAAAAAAAUUUAAAAGAUCAUCAUACUAUUUCAUUUAUAAUUAAUGGCUGGAUAUGAUGUGAUGACAGAGCUCCCUCCCGGUUACAGAUUUGUCCCCACUGAUGUGGAGUUGGUUCAACAUUACCUUGCCAAAAAGGUUCAUUAUCAACGUCCUGUUCCAUCUCUAGCUCCACUGGUUGAAGAUAUCCAUGCAAGGGAAUUUUACAGCAAAUCUCCUGACACUCUUGGUAUUUCUCCGGCUCAAUCCUGACAGUAAUCAUGAAGACUGCCUGUCAGGGGAGCCUUGGAGUAACUGGUAAAGUUGCCUCCAUGUGAUCAGGAGGUCACGGGUUCAAGCCUUGGAAACAGCCUCUCACAUAAAUUCAAGUGAAAAAUAUCUGCGGCGAAGGAGAAUGGUACUUCUUCAUCCAUCAAGAUCAGUAUUUCAGAGGAAAUAUAGGAAAAAUUCGCAUUGAUGGUAAUAAAAUAGGUUUUUGGCAAUGCUUUGGAAAAGAGUUUCCAAUUUAUAAUUUAGAAGGAGAUGUGAUUGGAUUCAAGGUUAAUUUGAAAUACUGUACUGGAUCGACAAAGAUAAAUAAUUGGACGAUGGAAAAAUACCGUUUAACUUGUGAAUGUGGCGCUAACGACGAGAUUGAAGAAUGGGUUCUUGGAAGACUUAUAAUAGGGAAAAAGAAUGAUUACAACAAUUAUCUGUAGCGCUAUUGUUUUUUUCAAGAAAGGAAGGACGUCGCCAUUCUAUUUCUUUUUUAGUAACCAUUCUUUAUUGA